rnacentral:tRNA from 1 species
GCGCCCGUAGCUCAGCCGGAUAGAGCACCGGAUUUCUAAUCCGUAGGUCGUGGGUUCGAGUCCCGCCGGGCGCACCA